rnacentral:rRNA from 1 species
CCUAGGAAUCUGCCUGGUAGUGGGGGAUAACGUUCGGAAACGGACGCUAAUACCGCAUACGUCCUACGGGAGAAAGCAGGGGACCUUCGGGCCUUGCGCUAUCAGAUGAGCCUAGGUCGGAUUAGCUAGUUGGUGGGGUAAUGGCUCACCAAGGCGACGAUCCGUAACUGGUCUGAGAGGAUGAUCAGUCACACUGGAACUGAGACACGGUCCAGACUCCUACGGGAGGCAGCAGUGGGGAAUAUUGGACAAUGGGCGAAAGCCUGAUCCAGCCAUGCCGCGUGUGUGAAGAAGGUCUUCGGAUUGUAAAGCACUUUAAGUUGGGAGGAAGGGUUGUAGAUUAAUACUCUGCAAUUUUGACGUUACCGACAGAAUAAGCACCGGCUAACUCUGUGCCAGCAGCCGCGGUAAUACAGAGGGUGCAAGCGUUAAUCGGAAUUACUGGGCGUAAAGCGCGCGUAGGUGGUUUGUUAAGUUGGAUGUGAAAUCCCCGGGCUCAACCUGGGAACUGCAUUCAAAACUGACUGACUAGAGUAUGGUAGAGGGUGGUGGAAUUUCCUGUGUAGCGGUGAAAUGCGUAGAUAUAGGAAGGAACACCAGUGGCGAAGGCGACCACCUGGACUAAUACUGACACUGAGGUGCGAAAGCGUGGGGAGCAAACAGGAUUAGAUACCCUGGUAGUCCACGCCGUAAACGAUGUCAACUAGCCGUUGGAAGCCUUGAGCUUUUAGUGGCGCAGCUAACGCAUUAAGUUGACCGCCUGGGGAGUACGGCCGCAAGGUUAAAACUCAAAUGAAUUGACGGGGGCCCGC